CCUCCUGGUACAUGGAGUCUUCCUUGCACACAAAGUUGUCCUCCUUCCUGUCCCACCAGUUGUGAUAGAGAUACUGGAAUAUGUAACAGUGUUUGUUUUGGCUUCAGCAAUCCACCAGCUUGUAGUGAUGUUUGCAUGGCAGAACUAUGGGGCAUUAACUGCAUUAACAAUUGCAGUGCCACUUGCACAAAUCUAUCCUGCCACCGUAUAACUGGAGAAUGUACUCAAGGAUGUCUUGGCUACAGCAAUCCACCCCAAUGUACUACAGCGUGUGAUCUAGGCAUGUAUGGACAAAACUGUUCCUUCCCCUGUCAUGCGCAUUGUCUCAAUGGAACAUGUAACAAUGUAGAUGGUUCAUGCUCUUGUGUCGCUGGUUAUAUAGGAGACGCUUGUGAUGAAGGUAUGUGCUAACUUGCUAUCAGUUGUAACAUUCUUCUGUUGUCCCUUCAGAAAAGAAGAUGAUAACAUCCCAAACCUAAUCCCUCUCAGGACGCCAAAGGAAAUGCUUCCAGUCCGAGCGCAUACCACACGACCAUGUGGCCACCUUUUUGUAACUUCUCUUACCUGUUUACAAAAGUAACGGCUUCUUCGAAGUGGUAAGAUCAAUUAUUCCAUUCAUAACUUUAAACAAAUGUAAUUCUUCAUUUGUUUGUUUCUCCGUAUCUCUUUGGCUACUUUUUAUUCUGUCUUUGAGGUCAGGCAAAAAUAGCACAUGCCAAUCAGCCCCAAAGCCUUAAAAGCUAUUCUUAAUUACC
rnacentral:sRNA from 1 species